AAACCAUGAUGGGGGCAAAUCCUAAGCAUUUCUUUGAAAUGCUCCCAAGCAUCGUAAAGAGAUUCCCCAUCACAUUGAGUGAAUCGUGUAAUAUGAUCCCUCAAUUG
rnacentral:snoRNA from 2 species